AGGGUGACAGCCCCGUACACAAAAAUGCACAUACUGUGAGCUCGAUGAGUAGGGCGGGACACGUGGUAUCCUGUCUGAAUAUGGGGGGACCAUCCUCCAAGGCUAAAUACUCCUGACUGACCGAUAGUGAACCAGUACCGUGAGGGAAAGGCGAAAAGAACCCCGGCGAGGGGAGUGAAAAAGAACCUGAAACCGUGUACGUACAAGCAGUGGGAGCACGCUUCGGCGUGUGACUGCGUACCUUUUGUAUAAUGGGUCAGCGACUUAUAUUCUGUAGCAAGGUUAACCGAAUAGGGGAGCCGAAGGGAAACCGAGUCUUAACUGGGCGUUAAGUUGCAGGGUAUAGACCCGAAACCCGGUGAUCUAGCCAUGGGCAGGUUGAAGGUUGGGUAACACUAACUGGAGGACCGAACCGACUAAUGUUGAAAAAUUAGCGGAUGACUUGUGGCUGGGGGUGAAAGGCCAAUCAAACCGGGAGAUAGCUGGUUCUCCCCGAAAGCUAUUUAGGUAGCGCCUCGUGAAUUCAUCUCCGGGGGUAGAGCACUGUUUCGGCAAGGGGGUCAUCCCGACUUACCAACCCGAUGCAAACUGCGAAUACCGGAGAAUGUUAUCACGGGAGACACACGGCGGGUGCUAACGUCCGUCGUGAAGAGGGAAACAACCCAGACCGCCAGCUAAGGUCCCAAAGUCAUGGUUAAGUGGGAAACGAUGUGGGAAGGCCCAGACAGCCAGGAUGUUGGCUUAGAAGCAGCCAUCAUUUAAAGAAAGCGUAAUAGCUCACUGGUCGAGUCGGCCUGCGCGGAAGAUGUAACGGGGCUAAACCAUGCACCGAAGCUGCGGCAGCGACACUAUGUGUUGUUGGGUAGGGGAGCGUUCUGUAAGCCUGUGAAGGUGUACUGUGAGGU
rnacentral:rRNA from 1 species